ACGAAGGGUGCAAGCGUUACUCGGAAUUACUGGGCGUAAAGCGUGCGUAGGUGGUUUGUUAAGUCUGAUGUGAAAGCCCUGGGCUCAACCUGGGAAUUGCAUUGGAUACUGGCAAGCUAGAGUGCGGUAGAGGAUAGUGGAAUUCCCGGUGUAGCAGUGAAAUGCGUAGAGAUCGGGAGGAACACCUGUGGCGAAGGCGACUGUCUGGACCAGCACUGACACUGAGGCACGAAAGCGUGGGGAGCAAACAG
rnacentral:rRNA from 1 species